rnacentral:lncRNA from 1 species
CUUCUGCUGGGCUUCUAGCCUAGGAAAGGAUGACCUUGAAGCCUCCAAUAAACUUAAGACUUAUCCAGCUCCUCUCCUCCCUGACCUUUUGAAGGAGCAACUUUUAUUCAAUGUCGGCCUAAGCCCUCUCAACCCUGUCGGUAUUUUUUCUUUCUCAAGUCAUUCGCUGCUUCUUCUUUCUCUUAUUCUAUUUCUAAGCUGUGCCGAUCUUUUUUCCAUGGCAGAUAUGGAUGCAGACGCAGCUCAGAUAUUAGCCAAGGGUCUCAAGGCCCAC